UAUAGAAUUAAGCCCAUUUGCAGCAGAUUUCAUUGUUAUUUUUUUUUUAAUUGUUUUUCCAAAUUUUCAAUGAGUUUUAUUUGUUCGAUUUAACAAAAUUUCAUAUUUUCAAUUGUAACGCAAACUUGUUAUAAUCGUGGAGAAAGCAGAGACAACAUUAUUCUAAGGUGAAUGUAUCCCUAAGCAAGUCGAUUAGCCGCCAUUGCAUACCAAGCUGAUCAAGGGACAGGCAACAUUUGGAAUCCAAAGCACCACCACCACCACCAAGAGCACCACCAACAGCUUUGGCCAAGUCACAAUCGCGGACACAUAUGCAACUAGGAAGCAAAAUGAUCUGGCCUGCCAGCAACAGCAAUAACAACAACAACAAGCGCUCAAAGACCUUGGUAUGGGGGCCCAUUGCAAUCGGCUGAACGGGGCAUUGGCAAUGGCAACGGCAACGGCAACCUGCCACACGUUGCGGCCUACGUAAGUGGCAAGAUCGCACACACAGUCAAAGUAAAGUCCGGAAUUGCGCUAAGGAUGCCAAGCGAAAGGUGGGCAGGUUGGUUGGUAGGUCCAUGUGGGAUGCCUGUUUUGCUGCCUGCUGCUGAUUCUGUUGCUGCCAUGCCCCCAAGUUGUUGCAUUGAUUUAGCAAACAUGCAUUUUUAUAGCCUUACAACGCGACCAGCUGGCGGCGCGGGGCUUUCUACACUGGUCAAAAUGGGAGUAACUUUCAAAUGGGAAAACAUCAAAUGUUGUACACAAAUAAAUGCCAAUAAUUUCUGAUAACCUAAGCCAAGAAA